AGCUUUGCGCAGUGGCAGUAUCGUAGCCAAUGAGGUUUAUCCGAGGCGCGAUUAUUGCUAAUUUACAAAGGAAAGCUACUAGCUUUUCUUCUCACCAAAAAAUAGUGGUGAGAAAUUAUAUUUUAUAUAUUUUAAUAACAAA